CCGCCGUCUGGUCCACCUCCAGCACAUGCGGGGAAGCCACCAAGGUCGUCUGGCGCAGCAUGGUGCGUGGCGAAGCCCACUGUGCCUGACCCAAUAAUUCAAGACGCGAUGGAUUAUGCCUGUGGGUCAGGAGCGGACUGUAAGUCCAUUCAGCCAAAUGGGCAUUGCUUUGAGCCUGACACUAUUCUGUCACACGCCUCCUAUGCUUUCAACAGCUACUGGCAGAACACCAAGGUGACUGGUGGUACCUGCGACUUUGGAGGGACUGCCAUGCUUGUAACAGUGGAUCCAAGUUUUGAAGGGUGUAAGUUCGUCCUCAACUGAGAUUAGAAAUGGAGUGGAGACACACACUUGGUUCCUCAUUUUUGACAUAUUGAAUAAGAACAAGGCAGCUGCAUCUCUCUCUCUCUCUCUCUACCGACUGAAUUUUAUACAUUAGAGAUUUAUGAUACUCUGUAUUUCUCCAUCAAUGAACCAUCAAGAUUUUUUCUUUGCGAGCAACA